GAUGGGGUGCUCUUAUAGCAUGUAGGGGUGCCAUAUGAUUAGAUUCUAUGAAGAAGAAUAUAAAAGAAAGAAUUUAUUUUUCUGCAAAACUCCAGAUCUUGAAACCCUAGGUUUGUUGUAUGUGAUAUAAAGUUGUAUGAAAAAUAAAACAUCUAAUAUAUAUGAUUAAAAUUAUUUUAAUCAUGAAAAAAAUAAGAUCUCGAAUCAUAAAAAGUUUUAGAUAUAAUCUAAAAGGGUGUUUAUGAUUGAUUUUAUUUUAAAAUUAUGCAAGAUUUUCAUAUUCGAACUCUUUGAAUCAUGCUAGUACAAUUACUGAGUUGACCUAGUUUUGAACUGAGUU
rnacentral:lncRNA from 1 species